GCCGAGGUGGUGAAACUGGUAGACGCGCCGGAUUCAAAAUCCGGUAUCCUUCGGGAUGUGGGGGUUCGAUUCCCUUCCUCGGCA
rnacentral:tRNA from 1 species